CCAACGGCACUUUUCAGUGCCAUGCAAACAUCAUAGAAGAGCACUU
rfam:Danio rerio chromosome 10, GRCz11 reference primary assembly.